AUGGAAGACUCCCAGGAUUUAAAUGAACAAUCAGUAAAGAAAACGUGCACAGAAUCAGAUGUUUCAGAAUCUCAGAAUUCCAGGUCUAUGGAAAUGCAGGACCUAGCAAGUCCUCAUACUCUUGUUGGAGGUGGUGAUACUCCAGGUAGCUCCAAACUGGAAAAAUCUAAUCUCAGCAGCACAUCAGUUACUACAAAUGGGACAGGAGGGGACAACAUGACUGUUUUAAACACAGCAGACUGGUUGCUGAGUUGCAACACCCCCUCUUCUGCAACAAUGUCUCUUCUUGCAGUCAAAACAGAGCCCUUGAACAGCAGUGAAACCACAACCACGACUGGAGAUGGAGCGCUUGACACUUUUACUGGGUCAGUAAUUACAAGUAGUGGCUACAGCCCCAGAUCAGCACAUCAGUAUUCCCCACAGCUGUAUCCUUCCAAGCCCUAUCCACACAUUCUUUCUACACCAGCAGCUCAAACAAUGUCUGCCUAUGCAGGCCAGGCUCAGUAUUCGGGGAUGCAGCAGCCAGCCGUCUACACAGCCUACUCACAGACAGGACAGCCCUACAGCCUGCCCACAUACGAUUUGGGUGUGAUGUUGCCAGCCAUCAAGACAGAGAGUGGACUUUCCCAAACUCAGUCCCCAUUACAGAGUGGUUGCCUCAGUUACAGCCCAGGGUUCUCUACCCCACAGCCAGGACAGACACCUUAUUCUUACCAAAUGCCAGGUUCUAGUUUUGCACCAUCAUCUACUAUUUAUGCAAAUAAUUCAGUUUCCAAUUCAACGAAUUUCAGUGGUUCACAACAGGAUUAUCCAUCCUAUACAGCCUUUGGCCAAAACCAAUAUGCACAGUAUUAUUCAGCAUCAACGUAUGGAGCGUAUAUGACAUCAAAUAACACAGCCGAUGGCACACCCUCUUCGACCUCUACUUAUCAGUUGCAGGAAUCUCUCCCAGGACUGACUAACCAACCAGGAGAGUUCGAUACCAUGCAGAGUCCCUCCACACCCAUCAAAGAUCUUGAUGAGAGAACCUGUAGAAGUUCUGGGUCAAAGUCCAGAGGAAGAGGCCGGAAAAAUAAUCCUUCCCCGCCUCCUGAUAGUGACCUGGAGCGUGUGUUUGUCUGGGAUUUGGAUGAAACCAUCAUUGUUUUUCACUCACUGCUCACCGGGUCUUAUGCACAGAAGUAUGGCAAGGAUCCCCCCAUGGCUGUAACCCUUGGACUCCGCAUGGAAGAAAUGAUUUUUAAUCUUGCUGAUACUCAUUUGUUUUUUAAUGAUUUAGAGGAGUGUGAUCAAGUUCAUAUAGAUGAUGUUUCCUCUGAUGAUAAUGGGCAGGACUUAAGGUGUAAGAGGAGGGGUUGA
rnacentral:sRNA from 1 species